UGCCUGCCUCCAGGCCCGCCUUCUUUGCGGGGGGCCCUAGUCCGGGUGGGGGAGGAAUCACCACCUUCUCCGAGCUUCCAGGCCGGGGACCUUCCGGUCCAUCUCAGAUCAUUGCUACCGAGUCCAGAACAGUCCAACGACAGGGGACAGGACCAUGCCUAAUGGCAGGAGGGGGUCCGGGUCCCCAGCUCCUUCAACUAGGUACACAGACAGAAAGGAGGGGGACCCAGAGAGAUGGGGACAAAAAUAAAGAAUCUAGGCAGAGAAGACAGCAAGAAUGAGGCCGUUGGGCCUAUGUGAUGGCUCAGUGUGUAAAGGUGCUUGUGGCUAAGCCUGGCGAUAUGAGUUCAAUCUUUGGGACCCCCAUGGUGAAAGGAGAGGACAGACUCCCACAAAUUGUCUUCUGCUUUUCACACAUGAACUGUGGCACUUACACACACAAACACAAAAUAAAUAAACGCAAUUAAUCGCUUUUUUAAUGAUAUUAUCUUCCACAGGCCUCCAAGACUUUCCUGAACUUCCAGGCCCUCCCUUCACACAGGAACAUGCACGCACACACACUAUCCCUCCCACCUCACUGUCUUCCCCCAUUCUGCCUUUCUCCCUCUUUUAAUGAAGACCCUGCUGUCCUCCUGGCCAUGAUGUGAGCAGCAUCUCUCACCUCAGGGCCUCGGCAACGACUCUUCCCAAGGUCUAGUUCAAUGGUUCUCAACCUUCCUAACGCUGCUACCCUUUAAUACAGUUCCUCAGGUUGUGGUGACCCCCAGCCAUACAAUUAUUUCCUUUGCUACUUCAUAACUGUAAUUUUCCUACUGUUAUGAAACAUAGUGCAAAUAUCCGAUAUGCAACCCUUGUGAAAAGGUCAUGACCCACCUCUGGUUGAAUGCCAGCUUGGUGAGGUCCCUCCUGAUCAUUCCCUGACCCUUUCUGGUUUUCUUUCCUUCUUUAAUUUUGUCCUUGGCAUGUGGCACUGUAUCCCCCAUCGUGUAUUUUCCUUAUCAUGUCUAUCCCCUCCAUUGGGGUGCCACUUUCACAUAGGGGAGUGGUGUGUGUGUGUGUGUGCAUGUGCACACGUGUGCAGGCCAGUGUCUCCCUCUACCACUCUCCACAUCAUUUUUUACACUGUGUCUCUCAUUUAACCUGAAGCUCAUCAUUUUGGCUAAGCUGGCUGGUCACAGAGCCUCCAGGCAGGCGCCUCCCAUCCCUGCCCCUCAGUGCUGGGAUUACAAACACAUGCCACUGUA